rnacentral:rRNA from 1 species
ACGCACGCUGGUGGCAUGCCUAACACAUGCCAGUCGCACGAGACCUUCGGGUCUAGUGGCGCACGGGUGCGUAACGCGUGGGAACCUGCCCUUAGGUUCGGAAUAACUCCCCGAAAGGGGUGCUAAUACCGGAUAAUGUCUUCGGACCAAAGAUUUAUCGCCUUUGGAUGGGCCCGCGUUGGAUUAGCUAGUUGGUAGGGUAAAAGCCUACCAAGGCGACGAUCCAUAGCUGGUCUGAGAGGAUGAUCAGCCACACUGGGACUGAGACACGGCCCAGACUCCUACGGGAGGCAGCAGUGGGGAAUAUUGGACAAUGGGCGAAAGCCUGAUCCAGCAAUGCCGCGUGAGUGAUGAAGGCCUUAGGGUUGUAAAGCUCUUUUACCCGGGAUGAUAAUGACAGUACCGGGAGAAUAAGCUCCGGCUAACUCCGUG